AGCGGGGCAGAAACUCCUGCUUCUCCCCCCACCCUUAUGCAACCCCGGACCUCGCGUCCCUAGGCCGCCGCCCCGCCCCCGGCCGAGAGGACCGAGCCGUAGGGGGUUGGGGGGGGCGUGUGUGGAAACGCCGGUGAAAGGCGGUGGAGCUGCACCCGGGCCCUCGGAGCCUGAAGCCCAGCCCUCCCUCCCCCCACGCGCAGACGUGCAGCUCUGAACGUUAUCGGAGUCCGUGCAGAAUCCCAGGGUUCGCUGCUGUGCCCUUGCCCUGCUGCACCGCGGCCUCGGCGGCUCCCGCUGCAGGCCCGGCGCCCCCGCAACCCCCGCACUGCGGCCCCGCAACACUUACGAGUCUCCGUCCUCCGUGAGCUGCUGCUUCCAAGGCUCGGCGCCGCGCGGCGCCUCCUGAGGCUCAAGACGGAUCUCCCGCAGCUCCUUCACCAUCUGCUCAUACUCCUCGUCCUUCAUGGAGUCCAGGCCGCUGUCGUGGCGGUCGUCCAGCAGCCGCUCCUUCUUCAUCCCGUCCCGGGGACCCUCCAUGGCCCACUCCGGGGCGUGCUCGGCGGGCUGAAACAUGGCGCGGUAAAAGCUCCAGGCGCUGCUCCCCAGGUAUAACCCACUGGCCCUGAGUUGAUAACCUCUCUUUCAGACAAGGUAUUCUUCUGGUUGCUGAAGAUUAAUAAGACAUGGUCUCACUACUGGAAGUGUUUGCAAUGCAUGAAACCAACAAAGAAUUAGUAUACGCAGAAUAUGUAAAGAACUCCUACAAUUCAAAAGAAAAAGACAACUCCAGAGAGAAAUUGGCAAAGCAUAAGAACAGGCAAUUUACAGAAGAGAAAAUUCAAUAUGGAAAAUUAGCAUAUGAACAGUUGGUCAAUAUAACUAGUAAUCAGGAAAAUUUAAGUUAAAACAAUAAGAUACUAUUCCACACCCAUCAGAUUGGCUAAAAUUGAAAAGUUUGACUUGUAAAUGGGAAAUCAAACUCUAGUGGGAGUAAACAUUGGACAACCACUUUGGGGAGCAAUUUUUCAAUAUCUAGUAAUUUAAUUUUAAUUUGUCAAUGUUUAUAGCAAUUCUACUUCUGGAGAUAAACCCCAAAGAAAUACUUACACAUGUGCACAAAGAUACAUUAAAAGAAUGUCCAUUGCAAUACUGUUUGUAAUAGUGAAAAAGUGAAAACUUUUUACCAA